UGAGCGUUUUAGGUGGCUUAAAAUUGUUUCUUACUUUUAUUAGUGGGUAUUGGGUAUUUUUAGUAAAAAAUUAUAUUUUAUUGGGUAAGUAUGGAAUAAUGAACAUUUAAAGUGGGUUAUAGUUUAGUUUUGUACCGUAGGGGGUUGUUGUAUAUUUAGUAAAAAGAAAAAGUUAAUUUUUGUACCUUUUGUAUCAGGGGCAGUCAAAAUACUUGACUUAUUGGUCGGCAUCUCGAAGUGAAAUGAGUAAAUANGCUAUUAUUGUUUAUGUGGAAAAAUGAAAUUGUUAAUAGUGUGUUGGUGAUGAAAUGUCAGUCGAUUUUCAUAUAUCUAGUUUUUCUUGAAGCAAAUUUAAUUUGAUUUUUUAUUUAAGGAUGUAAAAAUUGGAUCUUAAGGGGGAUGAGCUCCUUAGGUGGUGUGUAGGGUGAGAUAGUUAGUUUACCUUUUAUUUAGGCUUAAGAUCAGCCAUAUUUUUAAAUCGUUCUAGGUAAUAAGUUUGUUAAUAAUUAUUUAUAUCUUACCUACUGGGCAUAGGGGAAACUUUGUUUUAGUUUAUUAAACAAUUUUAUAAUGAUUGUAUUAGUAGAGAUAUUUUGUGAACUUAAAAGUUAGAUUUUUAAGUUUAAGUGUAUAGGGNUAUAGUUGCAUCUAAGGAAUUCGGCAAAUUUUACUCCUGCCUGUUUAUCAAAAACAUGUCUGUAUGAAGGGUUAAUAUACAGUCUGACCUGCCCCCUGAGAGUUUAAAGGGCCGCGGUAUUUGAACCGUGCUAAGGUAGCGUAAUAAAUAGUCUUUUAAUUGAGGUCUAGAAUGAAUGGUUGGACAGGGAGUGGGCUGUUUUAGUUGUAAUAAUUGAACUUUACUUUUGAGUGAAAAGGCUUAAAUUGGAUGGUGGGACGAUAAGACCCUAUAAAGCUUUACAUUUUAUUUGUGGGUAAAGGGGUUUAUGGUUUUUUAUUCUUAUCAGGUGAAGUGUUUCGUNGGGGCGACGGGAAUAUAACAUAUUAACUGUUUUUUUUAUAAAAAUAAGAUUUGUUAGGGAAUUGAUCCUUUGUAGAGAUUAAAAGAAUUAAGUUACUUUAGGGAUAACAGCGUAAUUUUUCUUAAGAGUUCUUAUCGACAGAAGUAGUUGCGACCUCGAUGUUGAAUUAAGAUGCCGCCCAGGUGUAGCAGUUUUGGUGGUGGGUCUGUUCGACCUUUAAANUCUU
rnacentral:rRNA from 1 species